GAAAAUCUUCAUGUCUCAAACUCAGUUUACCUGCGGUAACUUUAGUCCAGGCCUGAUAUGGAUGAAUUUGGCCGUGUCCACACGUCCCAUUUAGAUCUCAGAGCCCCAGAAUGACUUCAGUUCACAUACAGAGCUCUCCAGCUUGCUUAACCCUGAGCUGGGCGAUGAGUUCUGACCUUGCUGGAACACAGCCCGGAGCCUAGCUCAGUAUCCCAUCCCUGGCAACAGGCACAGCCAGUAAGAGGC
rnacentral:lncRNA from 1 species